GUAGGGAAUAUUGGGCAAUGGUCGGAAGACUGACCCAGCCAUGCCGCGUGCAGGAAGACGGCCCUCUGGGUUGUAAACUGCUUUUAUCUGGGAAGAAAAAGGCCAUGCGUGGCAAAUUGCCGGUACCAGAUGAAUAAGCACCGGCUAACUCCGUGCCAGCAGCCGCGGUAAUACGGAGGGUGCGAGCGUUGUCCGGAUUUAUUGGGUUUAAAGGGUGCGUAGGCGGCUGAUUAAGUCAGCGGUGAAAGACUUCGGCUUAACCGGAGCAGUGCCGGUGAUACUGGUUGGCUUUAGUGUCGGAGGGGUACAUGGAAUUGAUGGUGUAGCGGUGAAAUGCAUAGAUACCAUCAGGAACACCGAUAGCGAAGGCAUUGUACUGGCCGACAACUGACGCUGAUGCACGAAAGUGUGGGGAUCGAACAGGAUUAGAAACCCUAGUAGUCC
rnacentral:rRNA from 1 species